rnacentral:rRNA from 1 species
GAUGAACGCUGGCGGCGUGCCUAAUACAUGCAAGUCGAGCGAAUGGAUUAAGAGCUUGCUCUGGUGAAUUAGUGGCGAACGGGUGAGUAACACGUGAGUAACCUGCCCCGAACUCUGGGAUAACUGCUGGAAACGGUAGCUAAUACUGGAUACGACCUACGAAGGCAUCUUCUGUAGGUGGAAAGAAUUUCGGUUCGGGAUGGACUCGCGGCCUAUCAGCUUGUUGGUGAGGUAAUGGCUCACCAAGGCGACGACGGGUAGCCGGCCUGAGAGGGUGACCGGCCACACUGGGACUGAGACACGGCCCAGACUCCUACGGGAGGCAGCAGUGGGGAAUAUUGCACAAUGGGCGCAAGCCUGAUGCAGCAACGCCGCGUGAGGGAUGACGGCCUUCGGGUUGUAAACCUCUUUUAGUAGGGAAGAAGCGAAAGUGACGGUACCUGCAGAAAAAGCACCGGCUAACUACGUGCCAGCAGCCGCAGUAA